rnacentral:rRNA from 1 species
GACGAACGCUGGCGGCGUGCUUAACACAUGCAAGUCGAACGGAAAGGCCCUGCUUUUGUGGGGUGCUCGAGUGGCGAACGGGUGAGUAACACGUGAGUAACCUGCACUUGACUUUGGGAUAACUUCAGGAAACUGGGGCUAAUACCGGAUAGGAGCUCCUGCUGCAUGGUGGGGGUUGGAAAGUUUCGGCGGUUGGGGAUGGACUCGCGGCUUAUCAGCUUGUUGGUGGGGUAGUGGCUUACCAAGGCUUUGACGGGUAGCCGGCCUGAGAGGGUGACCGGCCACAUUGGGACUGAGAUACGGCCCAGACGCCUACGGGAGGCAGCAGUGGGGAAUAUUGCACAAUGGGCGGAAGCCUGAUGCAGCAACGCCGCGUGCGGGAUGACGGCCUUCGGGUUGUAAACCGCUUUCGCCUGUGACGAAGCGUGAGUGACGGUAAUUGGUAAAGAAGCACCGGCUAACUACGUG